CCUACGGGUGGCAGCAGUGGGGAAUAUUGCACAAUGGGCGAAAGCCUGAUGCAGCGACGCCGCGUGAGUGAAGAAGUUCUUCGGUAUGUAAACCUCUGUCAGCAGGGAAGAAAAUGCCGUUACCUGAGUAAGAAUCCACUGCUAACUACGUGACAGCAGCCGCGGUAAUACGUCGGGGGCAAGGGUUAUCCGGUUGGACUGGGUGUAAAGGGAACGUGGACGGCAGUGCAAGUCAGGAGUGAAAGGCGGGGGCUCAACCCCCGGACUGCUCUGGAAACUGGACGGCUGGAGUGCGGGAGAGGAAAGUGGAAUUCCUAGUGUAGCGGUGAAAUGCGUAGAUAUGAGGAGGAACACCAGUGGCGAAGGCGGCUUACUGGACUGUAACUGACGUUGAGGCGCGAAAGCGUGGGGAGCAAACAGGAUUAGAUACCCCUGUAGUC
rnacentral:rRNA from 1 species